rnacentral:rRNA from 1 species
UCUUGUUGAAAGGGAAGGGCAUUAGAUCAGACUUGGUGUUUUACGAUUAUCUUCUCUUCUUGAGUUGUGCACUCGUAUUUCACUGGGCCAGCAUCGAUUCGGAUGGCAAGAUAAUGGCAGUUGAAUGUGGCUUCACUUCGGUGGAGUGUUAUAGCUUCUGCUGAUAUUGCCGUCUA